GAUGAACGCUGGCUACAGGCUUAACACAUGCAAGUCGCGGGGCAGCACGGGGGUUGCUUGCAAUCCCCGAUGGCGACCGGCGCACGGGUGAGUAACGCGUAUCCAACCUGCCCUUCACCACGGGAUAACCCGGCGAAAGUAGGACUAAUACCGUAUGGUGUCCAUUGUCGGCGUCCGAGUUGGUCGGACGGUUCGGCGUUGAAGGAUGGGGUGGCGUUCGAUUUACUGGGCGGGGGGGAGGCGGCCCAACGUGGCGACGCUCGGUAGGGGUUCUGAGAGGAAGGUCCCCCAGACUGGAACUGAGACACGGUCCAGUCUCGUACGGGAGGGAGGAGUGUGGAAGAUUAGGCAAUGGACGUAAGCCUGAACCUACCAAGUGGCGUGCAGGAGGACGGCCGUAGGGAUGGUAAACUGCUUUGAAGCGGGGGUAAAGGGGCCAACGCGUGGGUUUUUGCCGGUACCGAAUGAAUAAGGACCGGCUAAUUCCGUG
rnacentral:rRNA from 1 species